rnacentral:rRNA from 1 species
GAUGAACGCUGGCGGCGUGCCUAAUACAUGCAAGUCGAGCGAACAGACGAGGAGCUUGCUCCUCUGACGUUAGCGGCGGACGGGUGAAUAACACGUGGAUAACCUACCUAUAAGACUGGGAUAACUUCGGGAAACCGGAGCUAAUACCGGAUAAUAUAUUGAACCGCAUGGUUCAAUAGUGAAAGACGGUUUUGCUGUCACUUAUAGAUGGAUCCGCGCCGCAUUAGCUAGUUGGAAGGUAACGGCUUACCAAGGCAACGAUGCGUAGCCGACCUGAGAGGGUGAUCGGCCACACUGGAACUGAGACACGGUCCAGACUCCUACGGGAGGCAGCAGUAGGGAAUCUUCCGCAAUGGGCGAAAGCCUGACGGAGCAACGCCGCGUGAGUGAUGAAGGUCUUCGGAUCGUAAAACUCUGUUAUUAGGGAAGAACAAAUGUGUAAGUAACUAUGCACGUCUUGACGGUACCUAAUCAGAAAGCCACGGCUAACUACGUG